GAACUGCGAUAAGUAAUGUGAAUUGCAGAAUUCAGUGAAUCAUCGAGUCUUUGAACGCACAUUGCGCCCCCUGGCAUUCCGGGGGGCAUGUCUGUCCGAGCGUCAUUGCUGCCCUUCAAGCCCGGCUUGUGUGUUGGGUCGUCGUCCCCUCCGGGGGACGGGCCCGAAAGGCAGCGGCGGCACCGCGUCCGGUCCUCGAGCGUAUGGGGCUUUGUCACCCGCUCGAUAAGGACCGGCCGGGCGCCAGCCGGCGUCUCCAACCUUUUUUUCUCAGGUUGACCUCGGAUCAGGUAGGGAUACCCGCUGAACUUAAGC
rnacentral:misc_RNA from 1 species